rnacentral:lncRNA from 1 species
CCUCCGAUCGAACCUGCGAAAAAAUCAAGCGCCAUUUCCUAUUACAAUAUCAAGUCUUGUUUAUGUCGUUCUCGAAAAUUCUUGCGAAACAGCGAAAUCUAUCACAUAUCUGUCAACAUGAUGAAACCUUUCGUUCACAAGGUGUUCAGUUACAGCAUAAAAGAAUGGAUGAGCCCGGCCGGUCAACUUAGAGCAAUUCAAUACGUCAUACGAGCGAUUUUGUUGGCUUAAAGACCAUUGAAAAAAUGCCUUAAGACUGUUUCUUCCAUAUAUUAAACAUCAAUUUCCGCGUAUGUUUAUAUAAAGGUUCUCAUACAAUAUCAUAAACAGUCACCUG